rnacentral:rRNA from 1 species
AGCAGCCGCGGUAAUUCCAGCUCCAAUAGCGUAUAUUAAAGUUGUUGCAGUUAAAAAGCUCGUAGUUGAAUUUCGGGAUCAAUAUGUUGGUCGUGCCUCGGUACGUACUAGCAUAUUGGUUUCUCCUUUCUGAAGAACCAUGAUGUCAUUUAUUUGGUGUCGUGGGGAAUCAGGACUGUUACUUUGAAAAAUUAGAGUGUUUAAAGCAGGCUCACGCUUGAAUACAUUAGCAUGGAAUAAUGAAAUAGGACGUUUGAUUCUAUUUUGUUGGUUUCUAGGAUCGACGUAAUGAUUAAUAGGGAUAGUUGGGGGCAUUAGUAUUCAAUUGUCAGAGGUGAAAUUCUUGGAUUUAUUGAAGACUAACUACUGCGAAAGCAUUUGCCAAGGAUGUUUUCAU